GCGCCACACGCACCGCGCCACACGGACGCUCCACAUACACAGACGCACACACCCACACUAACUCCACAGAUGCCCCUCAACACGCACCUCUCUCUUUCUCGCUCUCUAUGUCUCCCUCUUUCUCCCCCAUUCGCCCUGCUUCAUCCUCCUGAGGCGCAAACCCAGCCCUGACACAACCAUGAGGGACAAACCUGAGGGCAGGCUCGGCAACCCUUUCUUGCUCUGGCUGGCACAUUGCUUUUUCCUACUCCUUUCUCAAGUCCUUCUAUUUAAUUCCUCCCUCCUCAAAGGGACCUCGAGCACUUGCAUCACUGAAAUGAGAUGAUCUGAAUGUGAGCUGUCAUAUUAAGGAGAAAAAUGUCACCACGCUCAGUACGCAGCUGAAGAACAGGCAGCAAGUGGGAAUUGGCUAAAUUAGCUUAACAGACUGCUUUUUCUAUUGCUUCAUUCCUGCAUUUGGUGUGAGAACAGAAUGACUGGGUGAAGGUGGAAAACCUUCUGGAAACCUUCUGGGAAUGACAAAAAUAUGCAAAAGCAUGAAAAGAGAGCAUGGAGGAAGAUUGCAAGUAGCUCUGGAAGAAGCUGCCUCCACGUGGCCAGUGGUGACUUUCGGACUUCUGCAUAAAAAACGUUCCGCAAACACAAAACAUGGUUCAGCCUGCACUGUCAUGGUUGCCAGGCUCUGGAAAGCUCCUCUGGUUGUUUGACUAACUGAAGAUCUCAAGUGCCAAGAUGAUAGUGAUGAAUAGCGUGAAGACCCUGGCACACUUAAACAAGCAGCUGAAAACUGUCUGGAGUCCAUCAGCAGUGCCAGCACGACUCUGCAGCCUGGCCACCUGCGCUCGCAAAACCAGGAAUGAUGCACACUGUAAUUCAUCAGCAAAUGUUUUCAGUGUCAGAGAUUCAACAGCUAAACCAACACUUGUGCCAGUAAGACCAAGGCUUGGGCUCAUACAAUACUGCUCACAUGUGGUGACAUGAAUUACUGCUUUAGAGGGGAAGUCCAGAGACAACAGAGGCACUGAAAUAGUGGUGAAAAAGUUGUCAUUAUUCUUUCUCUGUUUUUGUAUUUGAAGACAUAAUAACAGAAACUAAGAUUGUGAGUGAAUGUUCAUUGUAAGUCCAAUGACUCCCGAGUUCAAAACUUGCCCAG
rnacentral:lncRNA from 1 species